rnacentral:lncRNA from 1 species
AUACUACAUCUUUAAAUCAACCGGUUCAACUGGAGCCUCAGCUGCAGGCUGCCCACGUGAGGCUGGUGGCCCUAGUUUUACUUUGCAACAGCAUACGCCGCUAGACUGGCAGUUUACAACAGGGUCCACGUACCCAACCGACUUGCAAACCAUAGGGCAAACCGUCGUCUCAUCGCAUGUUCCUCCCUUCAAGUCAAUACAGUUUCCUGCAAGAUAUAUACCAAGUAAAAUGUCACAAUCAAUCUUAUAAUGUUAAGGAUAUCGAAUAGUGUAUAUGCGUAUAUAUGCACAACCAGCUAGCCCUUGCACAGAAUUGGGCUCCAAGACCAUGGCCAUGACCAUGACGGCCGCCAAGAACAGAGCCCUAGUAUCCGCGCUUCCGAUGAGUGCCAUCAGUGUUCCUAAUAAUUGUUGCUCUUGUGUUCAAUUAGCUAGAUGUGGGGUUGC